AUUAAACAACCUUAGUUUCAACCAAUCCUCAACUAGAAUAAAAGAUUUCAGCCUCUCAUGGCUGAAACAAAACUAAAAAUAAAAUAAAAGGAGAAAGGUAGAAGAAGAGAUGUGAAUUUCGUAGGUGUCUCCCAAGGGGGGCUUAAGGGUCAUGUAGAGGCUCCUUAUGUGGCUUUUUAUAGUUGAGAAGUGUUGCCCUAGGUCAUACUUACUGCCCAAGAGGUAUUUUCUGCCCAAGAUGUGUCUGAAAAGGAAAGAAUCGCGCUUUUCGGCUUCAGAAGGAAGGCUGCGCGAAAAUGCACUGCGGAAGGAAGUUGGUGCGCGUGGUUUGGUCUCAGAAAGGGAAGGAGGCGCAGAUUGUGCUUCCUAAAUAAGUUUAGAUGCUGACCUUACUUCCUAAUUAGUGUAGAGGCUGCCCAAGAUGCUGCCCAUGUGCAACUUGCUGCCCAAGUUGUUGCAGAAAAGGAAGGUGGCGCGCAGAUGGCUCUCAGAAGAGGAAAGCGUGCAGAUUGUUUCUGAAUAGGAAGGAUGCACGAAUUUUGAUCUUCAAAGGGGAAGAUAUGCUUUUCCAUACAUUCCUUUUUAGGUGGAGCCU
rnacentral:lncRNA from 1 species